GAUGAACGCUGGCGGCGUGCCUAAUACAUGCAAGUCGAGCGAACGGACGAGAAGCUUGCUUCUCUGAUGUUAGCGGCGGACGGGUGAGUAACACGUGGAUAACCUACCUAUAAGACUGGGAUAACUUCGGGAAACCGGAGCUAAUACCGGAUAAUAUUUUGAACCGCAUGGUUCAAAAGUGAAAGACGGUCUUGCUGUCACUUAUAGAUGGAUCUGCGCUGCAUUAGCUAGUUGGUAAGGUAACGGCUUACCAAGGCAACGAUGCAUAGCCGACCUGAGAGGGUGAUCGGCCACACUGGAACUGAGACACGGUCCCGACUCCUAAGGGAGGCAGCAGUAGGGAAUCUUCCGCAAUGGGCGAAAGCCUGACGGAGCAAAGCCGCGUGAGUGAUGAAGGUCUUCGGAUCGUAAAACUCUGUUAUUAGGGAAGAACAUAUGUGUAAGUAACUGUGCACAUCUUGACGGUACCUAAUCAGAAAGCCACGGCUAACUACGUG
rnacentral:rRNA from 1 species